UUGCAUUCCGCCACUGAUAUCUCCACUUGUCGACUGAAAGAUUUCGGCAAUAUUAGUCUGUUGUGUGUAUGUGCAUAAGUGCGUAUUUAUCUGCACAAGUGCGUAUUUAUCUGCACAUGUAUAUUCUGCUUUUAAGUUGUUCCUAUCAUCCAGCCCUCUAAGUUUUAAAAAAUUAAGCCUGUCUUAUUUUUAUUUUAUUUUUUAAUUCCAAUCCACCAUCAGCAUCUUUGCAACAACUUAGAAAUAUGCCAAACUCAGCCUGAUGCCCAUCAUCAUGUUACAUUAGCAUAGGAGUUAUGUUUGCAGCACCUUGUACAAACACAGCAUCAAGCUAACAACUAAAGCUGGAAGUCUGAGUCCUAUUAGAGAUAUGUAUCCUUGUCCUCUGAAUUCUUCAGUGCUGCUGUAAGAGGCUGAUACCUCUCCUCAGACAGUGACUGAACAGCUAACUCAUUCUCUGUCUGCAUAGAUACCAGACAAAGAAUCUCCUCAUCAGAGAAACUCUGCAGAGAGCGAAGCUUGAGAAACUCAAACAAGCCAAUUAGAGUUCUGGAAGCCGAAAGAAAAAGAGGUUUGGAGUCCUUUAAGUUGUCAAUAAAAGUUUCUAAAAAAAAAAAAAAAAAAAAAAAGAAAAGAAAAGCACCAGGAAGUCAACUAAGAAAUAAAUAAAUUGAUGUUGUGACACAGACAUCCUUUUGCUCAGAAAAUGAUGUAAGGGAACACUGGAAUGACAAAGAGAGGCGUUUUGCUGAAAGAUAAAAAUCCAUCAAACCACCCGGGGUGGUGGAAUGAUAGAAUUGUUCGAGGAUACACCUGCAUUUAGGACCAAAAUCUCAUAUCCCGAUAUAAGAACUCUAUCGUCUGAUAACGAUAUAAAUCACAAAAAUGUAACAUUUUCUGUAAAUUCUGUGAAUCUCAGGCAGCUCGACCUGCGUGAAGUGUUUCCAGCUGCGCGUCAUGUAGCUGGAGUCGAGUGUUUUAACCGAUGCAUGAAACGAUACAUUUUUAGACAUAAGUUGUAACAGCCGCCGUUUUCUUUGUGAGUAUUUAUUACACGGCGUGCUGCGGGGAAAAGCCUGUUCUAACGUUUGAGUCUAAGGUUUAUUUUUUAGCACCUGGCGGCUCUUUUUUACUUCUCAUCCGUAAA
ensembl:lncRNA